rnacentral:rRNA from 1 species
AACGUAGGACACGAGCGUUAUCCGGAAUUACUGGGCGUAAAGGGCGGGUAGGUGGUGCGAUAAGACUGGUGUGAAAGCCUUCGGCUUAACCGAAGGAGGACACUGGUGACUGUCGGACUUGAGGCAGAUAGAGGGGUGUAGAAUUCCGGGUGUAGUGGUGAAAUGCGUAGAGAUCCGGAGGAAUACCAGAGGCGAAGGCGGCACCCUGGGUCGGACCUGACACUGAUCCGCGACAGCAUGGGGAGCGAACGGG